rnacentral:rRNA from 1 species
UACGGAAGGCAGUAGUGGGGAAUAUUGCACAAUGGGCGAAAGCCUGAUGCAGCUAUGCCGCGUGUAUGAAGAAGGCCUUAGGGUUGUAAAGUACUUUCAUCGGGGAGGAAAAAACAAAACUAAUAAUUUUAUUUCUUGACGUUACCCGAAAAAGAAGCACCGGCUAACUCCGUGCCAGCAGCCGCGGUAAUACGGAGGGUGCUAGCGUUAAUCAGAAUUACUGGGCGUAAAGAGCACGUAGGUGGUUUUUUUAAAGUCAGAUGUGAAAUCCCUGGGCUUAACCUAGGAACUGCAUUUUGAAACUGAAAUACUAGAGUAUCGUAGAGGGAGGUAGAAUUCUAGGUGUAGCGGUGAAAUGCGUAGAUAUCUGGAGGAAUACCUGUGGCGAAAGCGGCCUCCUAAACGAAUACUGACACUGAGGUGCGAAAGCGUGGGGAGCAAACAGGGAUUAGAUACC